UACGGAGGGUGCAAGCGUUAUCCGGAUUUAUUGGGUUUAAAGGGUCCGUAGGCGGCCUAUUAAGUCAGUGGUGAAACCCUAUAGCUUAACUAUAGACCUGCCAUUGAUACUGAUAGGCUUGAAUGGGAGUGAAGUGGUUGGAAUGUGUAGUGUAGCGGUGAAAUGCUUAGAUAUUACACAGAACACCGAUUGCGAAGGCAGAUCACUAACUCUUUAUUGACGCUGAGGGACGAAAGCGUGGGGAGCGAACAGG
rnacentral:rRNA from 1 species